GGGUUGUGAGGUUAAGCGACUAAGCGUACACGGUGGAUGCCCUGGCAGUCAGAGGCGAUGAAGGACGUGCUAAUCUGCGAUAAGCGUCGGUAAGGUGAUAUGAACCGUUAUAACCGGCGAUUUCCGAAUGGGGAAACCCAGUGUGAUUCGUCACACUAUCAUUAACUGAAUCCAUAGGUUAAUGAGGCGAACCGGGGGAACUGAAACAUCUAAGUACCCCGAGGAAAAGAAAUCAACCGAGAUUCCCCAGUAGCGGCGAGCGAACGGGGAGCAGCCCAGAGCCUGAAUCAGUGUGUGUGUUAGUGGAAGCGUCUGGAAAGGCGCGCGAUACAGGGUGACAGCCCCGUACACAAAAAUGCACAUACUGUGAGCUCGAUGAGUAGGGCGGGACACGUGGUAUCCUGUCUGAAUAUGGGGGACCAUCCUCCAAGGCUAAAUACUCCUGACUGACCGAUAGUGAACCAGUACCGUGAGGGAAAGGCGAAAAGAACCCCGGCGAGGGGAGUGAAAAAGAACCUGAAACCGUGUACGUACAAGCAGUGGGAGCCUCUUUUAUGGGGUGACUGCGUACCUUUUGUAUAAUGGGUCAGCGACUUAUAUUCUGUAGCAAGGUUAACCGAAUAGGGGAGCCGAAGGGAAACCGAGUCUUAACCGGGCGUUAAGUUGCAGGGUAUAGACCCGAAACCCGGUGAUCUAGCCAUGGGCAGGUUGAAGGUUGGGUAACACUAACUGGAGGACCGAACCGACUAAUGUUGAAAAAUUAGCGGAUGACUUGUGGCUGGGGGUGAAAGGCCAAUCAAACCGGGAGAUAGCUGGUUCUCCCCGAAAGCUAUUUAGGUAGCGCCUCGUGAAUUCAUCUCCGGGGGUAGAGCACUGUUUCGGCAAGGGGGUCAUCCCGACUUACCAACCCGAUGCAAACUGCGAAUACCGGAGAAUGUUAUCACGGGAGACACACGGCGGGUGCUAACGUCCGUCGUGAAGAGGGAAACAACCCAGACCGCCAGCUAAGGUCCCAAAGUCAUGGUUAAGUGGGAAACGAUGUGGGAAGGCCCAGACAGCCAGGAUGUUGGCUUAGAAGCAGCCAUCAUUUAAAGAAAGCGUAAUAGCUCACUGGUCGAGUCGGCCUGCGCGGAAGAUGUAACGGGGCUAAACCAUGCACCGAAGCUGCGGCAGCGACACUGUGUGUUGUUGGGUAGGGGAGCGUUCUGUAAGCCUGUGAAGGUGUACUGUAAGGUAUGCUGGAGGUAUCAGAAGUGCGAAUGCUGACAUAAGUAACGAUAAAGCGGGUGAAAAGCCCGCUCGCCGGAAGACCAAGGGUUCCUGUCCAACGUUAAUCGGGGCAGGGUGAGUCGACCCCUAAGGCGAGGCCGAAAGGCGUAGUCGAUGGGAAACAGGUUAAUAUUCCUGUACUUGGUGUUACUGCGAAGGGGGACGGAGAAGGCUAUGUUGGCCGGGCGACGGUUGUCCCGGUUUAAGCGUGUAGGCUGGUUUUCCAGGCAAAUCCGGAAAAUCAAGGCUGAGGCGUGAUGACGAGGCACUACGGUGCUGAAGCAACAAAUGCCCUGCUUCCAGGAAAAGCCUCUAAGCAUCAGGUAACAUCAAAUCGUACCCCAAACCGACACAGGUGGUCAGGUAGAGAAUACCAAGGCGCUUGAGAGAACUCGGGUGAAGGAACUAGGCAAAAUGGUGCCGUAACUUCGGGAGAAGGCACGCUGAUAUGUAGGUGAAGUCCCUCGCGGAUGGAGCUGAAAUCAGUCGAAGAUACCAGCUGGCUGCAACUGUUUAUUAAAAACACAGCACUGUGCAAACACGAAAGUGGACGUAUACGGUGUGACGCCUGCCCGGUGCCGGAAGGUUAAUUGAUGGGGUCAGCGCAAGCGAAGCUCUUGAUCGAAGCCCCGGUAAACGGCGGCCGUAACUAUAACGGUCCUAAGGUAGCGAAAUUCCUUGUCGGGUAAGUUCCGACCUGCACGAAUGGCGUAAUGAUGGCCAGGCUGUCUCCACCCGAGACUCAGUGAAAUUGAACUCGCUGUGAAGAUGCAGUGUACCCGCGGCAAGACGGAAAGACCCCGUGAACCUUUACUAUAGCUUGACACUGAACAUUGAGCCUUGAUGUGUAGGAUAGGUGGGAGGCUUUGAAGUGUGGACGCCAGUCUGCAUGGAGCCGACCUUGAAAUACCACCCUUUAAUGUUUGAUGUUCUAACGUGGACCCGUGAUCCGGGUUGCGGACAGUGUCUGGUGGGUAGUUUGACUGGGGCGGUCUCCUCCUAAAGAGUAACGGAGGAGCACGAAGGUUGGCUAAUCCUGGUCGGACAUCAGGAGGUUAGUGCAAUGGCAUAAGCCAGCUUGACUGCGAGCGUGACGGCGCGAGCAGGUGCGAAAGCAGGUCAUAGUGAUCCGGUGGUUCUGAAUGGAAGGGCCAUCGCUCAACGGAUAAAAGGUACUCCGGGGAUAACAGGCUGAUACCGCCCAAGAGUUCAUAUCGACGGCGGUGUUUGGCACCUCGAUGUCGGCUCAUCACAUCCUGGGGCUGAAGUAGGUCCCAAGGGUAUGGCUGUUCGCCAUUUAAAGUGGUACGCGAGCUGGGUUUAGAACGUCGUGAGACAGUUCGGUCCCUAUCUGCCGUGGGCGCUGGAGAACUGAGGGGGGCUGCUCCUAGUACGAGAGGACCGGAGUGGACGCAUCACUGGUGUUCGGGUUGUCAUGCCAAUGGCACUGCCCGGUAGCUAAAUGCGGAAGAGAUAAGUGCUGAAAGCAUCUAAGCACGAAACUUGCCCCGAGAUGAGUUCUCCCUGACCCUUUAAGGGUCCUGAAGGAACGUUGAAGACGACGACGUUGAUAGGCCGGGUGUGUAAGCGCAGCGAUGCGUUGAGCUAACCGGUACUAAUGAACCGUGAGGCUUAACCUUACAACGCCGAAGGUGUUU
rnacentral:rRNA from 1 species